rnacentral:tRNA from 1 species
GAGGAGAUGGCUCAGUGGUUGAGAGUGCUGGCUGCUCUUCCAGAGGACCUGGGUUCAAGCCCCAGCACCCACA